ACCAUCCUUCUCUUGGGGUUGCGCUACUGUUCAAUGAACGUAUAGUGAGAACAGUACUGCUAACACCGACACAACACGUAAGCGCCCGCUAAGGCUCCGGCUUUAAUGUGGUGCAAUUUUUGGAACC
ensembl:snRNA